rnacentral:sRNA from 1 species
ACGCCCGGCUCCUCCGCACCCCCUCCCCCGGGGGUCCCGCGGCGUCUUAAGAUCUCCUUCAGCGAGACAGCCCUGGAGACCACGUACCAAUACCCCUCCGAGAGUUCGGUACUGGAGGAGCUGGGCCCGGAGCCUGAGGUCCCCAGUGCCCCCAACCCCCCAGCAGCCCAACCCGACGACGAAGAGGAUGAGGAAGAGCUGCUGCUGCUGCAGCCAGAGCUCCAGGGCGGGCUGCGCACCAAGGCCCUGAUUGUGGAUGAGUCCUGCCGGCGGUGACCAUCUUCCAACAUAGGGAUAUACCUCCCUCCUUCUUAUAACUGAAGAUCCUGGAGCCCGGAAGAUUCAGGGCAGACAGACCCUGAUAAUGAGCCUGGCAGGGAAGGGCAACCAACAUCUUGUAACUUGCUUUCCCCACCCUGUUUCUGGGGGCAGAGCCAAUUGCCCAAUUUCUACCCUAAUCCAAAGUCCCUGGUGUGGGUGGGGUUAAACGUGCUGGUGCAUCCUAGGUCAUCCAAGAGUGAGCGCCAAGUCCUGAGAAGGGACACAGAACUCCCUGGAGGGUGGAGAUGGAGCACCUGCCCCCCAUGGCAGGGUACACUCUCCCCACAGCCUUCCUCCCCACCAUCCCGUGGGGACUCUCGGGAUUUAAGCACUCGUCUCUCUGGGAGGCCCAGACCCCACUCCAUUUAUAGGCACAUCUCCUUCAUUUCCUAGGUCACUGCCCCUUUGUUUACAGCUCCUGCCUCCUCCCUUGACCACAGCCUGGUUUACAAAUUCCAUCAGCUCCCAGCCCCACCUGCCAAAGUCCCAGGUUUACAAGCCACGCUUACUUGCUGUGUCUGCGUGGAAUUCUCUCCUCUGUCCCCUCCAGUCUCCUCAUUGGAGUGACCUGAAGGUGUGGCUUCCUCCACUUUUUCUCAGUAUUACUUUGCCUUAGUUUUCCCCAAGAGGGAAAGCUGGAAAUCUUAACUCUAUACCCCCUUGAUAGUUAUUUAAUUCUGUUUCUCCUAGUGGUUCACAAUUGAACUGAAUUGAGAUGGUGUCGGGUGGCUAAGGAGACACCUCACCUGUCCUUCCCCAUUGUGCCGCCUUUAUCAAUUGCCUGUUUUGUUUUGUUUGUUUUUUAACUUUCCAUAAUAAAAUGGAGUUCUCUUCAA